GUGGGGAAUAUUGGACAAUGGGCGAAAGCCUGAUCCAGCCAUGCCGCGUGAGUGAUGAAGGCCUUAGGGUUGUAAAGCUCUUUUGUCCGGGAAGAUAAUGACUGUACCGGAAGAAUAAGCCCCGGCUAACUUCGUGCCAGCAGCCGCGGUAAUACGAAGGGGGCUAGCGUUGCUCGGAAUCACUGGGCGUAAAGGGCGCGUAGGCGGACUUUUAAGUCGGAGGUGAAAGCCCAGGGCUCAACCCUGGAAUUGCCUUCGAUACUGGGAGUCUUGAGUUCGGAAGAGGUUGGUGGAACUGCGAGUGUAGAGGUGAAAUUCGUAGAUAUUCGCAAGAACACCGGUGGCGAAGGCGGCCAACUGGUCCGAAACUGACGCUGAGGCGCGAAAGCGUGGGGAGCAAACAGGAUUAGAUACCCCUGUAGUCC
rnacentral:rRNA from 1 species